rnacentral:rRNA from 1 species
AAGAGGUGGCUUCCACCUCCAAGUGGUAUGGUAAAAUUGAAUGCAGAUGGGGCAGUGGCCAGGUCUAGGCAUGGAGGAGCUGCGGCAGCAAUUUGUCGGGAUCAUGACGGCAAUUACCUGGGAUCGUCAGCAGUGGUUUAUCAUGGAGUUACUAAUCCGAUGAUGCUCGAGACUUAUGCUUGUAGAGAAGCGUUGGCUUUGGCGGAAGAUCUCGCGACAAUGAAUAUAUGUGUGGCAUCGGAUUGCCAAGAAGAAAUAAUGCUUCGAUGUAAUAGUUUUAAUUCUUGCUCUUUUGUUCAUGAGCGUAGGAACCAUAAUUAUGAGGCUCAUAAUCUCGCCAAGUUUGCAUGUACUCUUGGACUAGGUAGACAUGUGUGGUUGGGCAAUCCUCAUGACCCAAACCUUGUACCUAUGUCGCUUAUCUCUGAAUGA